GUUUUCUCAUUUUUACAGUGUCAGUAAGGCACUUGUUUUCAUAUAGUCAAAGGCUUGGACAGGGACUCACGCGAUUUACCUUUUUGUUUCCAGAAAGGUUCUUACUCUGCUGAGGGACAUGAAAAGACCGGGUGUGACAAGGGCUAACUGAAAAGCACACACAUUAAGGCCGGUAGGAGUCGAGAAUAGGAAGUUUGGGGCUGCAUUGGAGAGGAAAGAUGUCCUUC
rnacentral:lncRNA from 1 species